GGGCGAGUGGCGGAAUUGGUAUACGCGCAUGUCUUAGGAACAUGUGGAGCAAUCCAUGAGGGUUCGAGUCCCUCCUCGCCCACCA
rnacentral:tRNA from 1 species